AGAGUGGAGGUGUGUAGACUUUAGUCUGUGAUUUCUAAAGAGGUAGCUCUGUGCAAUUUUAGAGUGGAGGUGUGUAGACUUUAGUCUGUGAUUUCUAAAAAGGUAGCUCUGUGCAAUUUUAGAGUGGAGGUGUGUAGACUUUAGUCUGUGAUUUCUAAAA